UGGCGUAUUUGGAUCGAAGCGAUUCGAAGAAAUUUUAUAGGAGUUAUCUAUCUUUUCGGAAUAAAUUUGUCGGUAUGUUUUUUUUAACUCAUAAACCGUUAACCGUAUAACCCUGGAAUGUUUUUAUUUGAGUCCCCUGAUUCCUAACUUAGAAAAUUAGGUCAAGGUCAAAGGUCAAGGUCAUAUUUUAGAUUUUCAUAUGUCUUUGAUUUCCCUAUAACUCUUGAACGGUUAUAGAUACAAAAAAAUUAAGCAGUGAAAAAU
rnacentral:lncRNA from 1 species